rnacentral:rRNA from 1 species
GAUGAACGCUGGCGGCGUGCCUAAUACAUGCAAGUCGAGCGAACAGAUGAGGAGCUUGCUCCUCUGACGUUAGCGGCGGACGGGUGAGUAACACGUGGAUAACCUACCUAUAAGACUGGGAUAACUUCGGGAAACCGGAGCUAAUACCGGAUAAUAUAUUGAACCGCAUGGUUCAAUAGUGAAAGACGGUUUUGCUGUCACUUAUAGAUGGAUCCGCGCCGCAUUAGCUAGUUGGUAAGGUAACGGCUUACCAAGGCAACGAUGCGUAGCCGACCUGAGAGGGUGAUCGGCCACACUGGAACUGAAACACGGCCCAACACCCUAGGGGAGGCAGCAGUAGGGAACUUUCCGCAAUGGGCGAAACCCUGACGGGGCAACGCCGGGGGGGGGAUGAAGGGUUUCGGAUCGUAAAACUCUGUUAUUAGGGAAAAAAAAAUUUGAAAGUAACUAUGCACGUUUUGACGGUACCUAAGCAGAAAGCCACGGCUAACUACGG